UGACGACUUUGAGCAAUCAUGUUUGAUGGAAGAAAGCUAGAGGGUAUAAAAUGAGAAGGUCAUUAUUGUGAUGUUCCACCCGAACACCUAUGGCAAAGCACUUCUGGUUCUACUUACAAGUUCUGCUGGGAGCAUUUCAAUUUUCUGGCUCAUUGUCAGCCUCACAAUAAAGAAGCAGGACUGUACUUAUUGGAAUGAAAAUAGAUGAAAUGCAAUAAGGAAAUGUGAGCUUUUAUGGAGAGAUGGAGAGGACCAACCAUGUAAAUGCUGGAAACAAGAUCUAACCUGGAAUUCCUUCUGUUUAAGGCACAAUGACAGUAAACUUGGCUUAAGCCUCAUCCAAAGACCACAGCAACAGGCAGAAUUGCCUCCAUCAUGUCUUUGGUAUUACUAAAGUGUUUAAAGCCAAAAUUGCA